rnacentral:lncRNA from 1 species
ACACAUAUGCACACACCUACACACAUACAAAAAAUCUGCUAAGUCAAUGGACUGCUAAGUCCAUGUCAAUUUGAGGAGAAUGGACAUCUUUAUGAUAUUGAAUCUUCUAACCUAUCAUGUUCCAUUUUAAAAAUAAAAUUGAUUUUAUAUUUUCCUUUAUAGAAGUGAUACAGCAGAAAAGUUGGAAAUGACAUCUAGGCAGAAGUCAUUUUUUAAAAUAUUUAUUUAAUGCCCAUACCCGUCAGGGCUAAUAACAUCAUGGCAUGUCUCCUUCUGGUCUUUUUUUUCUGCUCACUUUAUUUGACACAGUUGGGGUUAUACUUAGUGGGUAAUUAUGAAUUCCAUUUUAUACUUAACAUUAGAAUAUAAAAUUUCAUGUUAUUUUGAAAUCUUUAUAUAUGUAAAUUGCAGUUACGAGAAAGUCACUUAGAAAGUUGAUGUUCCAAAACCCAUCUAAUCCAUGAUCCAGAAAUGGAAUAUUGGGUCCAAAAUAUGACUAUUGAGCUCUUGAGCUUCACCAUGGAGCUAGCCAAUGGCAGAGCCAAGACUAUAAGCCAUAGCCCUGACCUCUCCUUCAAAGGCCAAGUCCAUUGGCCUUAGGGCCUCCAGGCAGUGGAGAAGAUACAGCCUCCUUCCCUCUGCCCUGGGGUCAUUCUCAGUGGCCCCACAUCAGGUUUACCUGGGACAUUCUUCAUCCACUGGAGUGAAGCUGCCCUUCCUCACUGAUGGGGGUGAGGGUGGGAAAAGAUGGCCCUUUGCUGGGCUCCUGCAGCACUGGGGCUGAAGCAGAGCAUUCCUUUUGGUGAAACUCUGACAGGCUUUCCUCACUUUCUAUGUGCUGAGAAAUAUUGAGUAGUGGAAGAGGAAGGGUGUGGGUCUGAAGAUCAGAGGAGGAGUUCCGAUCUUCCAUUCUUUUUUUUUUUUUUUGUCUUUUUGUCUUUUGUUGUUGCUAUUUCUUGGGCCACUCCCGCGGCAUAUGGAGGUUCCCAGGCUAGGGGUCCAAUCGGAGCUGUAGCCAACGGCCUACGCCAGAGCAACAGCAACGCAGGAUCCGAGCCGCGUCUGCGACCUACACCAUAGCUCACGGCAACGCCGGAUCGUUAACCCACUGAGAAAGGGCAGGGACCGAACCCGCAACCUCAUGGUUCCUAGUCGGAUUCGUUAACCACUGCGCCACGACGGGAACUCCCGAUCUUCCAUUCUUGUUUCUCUGAGCCUCAGUUGUCUCAUCUGUCAAAUGGGAACAAAUACACCCACCUCCCAGGGUUGUUGAGUGUUUAGCCAAGUCUAUGUGAAGGAAAGGCCUUCAGAAAUGGCUCAGGCCAGGAGCUUAAACAUAGGUAUUCAGAGUGGAAAAUCUUCUCGUAGCCAAAGAAGAGUCUUUUAUCAUGUUCUCAGAUUCUUCUUUGUUUCUUACCUAGCCGGAAGGUCCUCCCUGGGGUAGCCCAAGAGUCUGUGGUCAUGGUUCUUCCUGCUUCCAGGCUGCCCUGGGGUCUCUGACUGGGCAUCAGGUAGACAUAUUUCCUUCAUCUCUGAUGGCUCUGACUCUUGGCAAGAAUCUUAAGACCUGUCUUAGUCAAGGCUGCUAUAACAAAACUACCAUAGACUGGGUGACUUAAACAACAGAAAUUUCUUUUUGCUUCUCUUUUUUUCUUUUUUUAGGGUCAUGCUCAUGGCAUGUGGAAGUUCCCAGGUUAGAGGUCAAAUUGGAGCUGCAGGUGCCAGCCUAUGCCACAGUCAUAGGACCACUGGAUUCCAGCCACAUCUGUGGCCUCCACCACAGCUCACAGCAAUGCCAGAUCCUUACCCACUGACCAAGGCCAGGGAUCAAACCCACAUCCUCAUGGAUACUAGGCGGGUUCUUAACCUACUUAUCUCUAGUGGGAACUCCCAAAGAAAUUUCAUUGUCAGCGCUGGAGGACAGGAUAUCUGAUACCAGUGUUCCAGUGCGGUCAGGUUCUGGUGAGGCCCGCUUCCUGGUUCACACGUGCCCUCACGUGUCGGGAGAGGGAUCAUCUCUGAGUCUCACUUUGCAAGAGCACUAAUCCCGAGGGGAUGAGCCCUCCUGACUUAAUUAUCUCCCAAAGGCCUCACCUCCAAAUACCAUCACCUUGAGAUUAGGGCUUUGACAUAGGAAUUCUGGGGGAUGCAAAUGUUCCAACCAGGUCAGCAGCUUAGAGGGGUUUGCCAGUUGUCUGAGGCAUUCCCCACUUGUCUGAGAUUAGCUUCACAGUCAGCACUCAGGACAACUGCCCUUCACUCUGCUCCUGUCUCAUCCGAGGAUGGUCUUGGCCAUUUCCAGGGCAGAUGUCACCUCUCCGUGAACUGGGGCCCUUUCAGUCCUGCUCACAGUAGGAGGUGAGUGUUGGAUCUGAUGCCAUGCAAAGCCCCUUUCAAUCAUGGGCUGGAAGGAAUGAUGGUGGCGGCACAAACUUAAACUUGCAUCAGUCUAUUUGGUAUCAUCAGUCUAUUUGGUACCGUGACACCUGGGCGAAAGUCUAAUUUCCCCCCUAAGCUGCCUUUCUGUUCAGCACAUCAAUUCACCUCUUGGUACUGAGCCAACCUGCCAAGGGCAGACUUGUGUAGACACUUCCUGGCUUUCCUGCAUGUGGAAGGUGAAGAAUGGUGAGCAGGAAGGGCCCAGAGAUGACUGUCCAUGUAACAGGCUGAGCCUGCAGGUUCCUGCUUUGAUCCAUCAGAAGGUCCUUGAAGCAGUAGCUGAGCAGGGACUGUGUGUCUGUUCCAAAUGCUGGUAGUUUCGGGACACUGCACUUCGGGGGGUUUCUGGUCACCUGUCCACUAGUUAAAGCUUGACCCUGCCCUUUGCCUGCCCCUUGUGUGACCUUGAACGAUGCAUGCAACUUCCUUAAACGUCAAUGUCCUUUUCUAUAAAAGAUGGCAAAUAAAAUAUUCCUUCUUAAAAUGAAGGUGAUGGCAUUCCUAUUGUGGCGCAGUGGAAACAAAUCCAACUAGGGACCGUGAGGUUGCCGGUUCGAUCCCUGGCCUCGCUCAGUGGGUUAAGGAUCUGUCGUUGCCAUGAGCUGCGGUGUAGGUCACAGACAGGGCUGGGAUUUGGUGUUGCUGUGGCUGUGGUGGAGGCCGGUGGCAACAGCUCCAAUUAGACCCCUAGUCUGGGA